rnacentral:tRNA from 1 species
AGGGGUUUAGGAUAAUAUAGACCAAGGACCUUCAAAGCCCUAAGUAAAAGUGAAAGUCUUUUAACCCCUG